rnacentral:rRNA from 1 species
GGAAACAGAUGCUAAUACCGCAUAAGAUUACAGUACCGCAUGAUACAGUGAUCAAAGGAGCAAUCCGCUGAAAGAUGGGCUCGCGUCCGAUUAGAUAGUUGGUGAGGUAACGGCUCACCAGUCGACGAUCGGUAGCCGGACUGAGAGGUUGAACGGCCACAUUGGGACUGAGACACGGCCCAGACUCCUACGGGAGGCAGCAGUGGGGAAUAUUGCACAAUGGGCGAAAGCCUGAUGCAGCAACGCGGCGUGAGGGAAGACGGUUUUCGGAUUGUAAACCUCUGUUUUCGGUGACGAACAAAUGACGGUAACCGAGUAGGAAGCCACGGCUAACUACGUGCCAGCAGCCGCGGUAAUACGUAGGUGGCAAGCGUUAUCCGGAAUUACUGGGUGUAAAGGGAGCGCAGGCGGGAUAGCAAGUCAGCUGUGAAAACUAUGGGCUCAACCCAUAAACUGCAGUUGAAACUGUUAUUCUUGAGUGGAGUAGAGGCAAGCGGAAUUCCGAGUGUAGCGGUGAAAUGCGUAGAUAUUCGGAGGAACACCAGUGGCGAAGGCGGCUUGCUGGGCUCUAACUGACGCUGAGGCUCGAAAGUGUGGGGAGCAAACAGGAUUAGAUACCCUGGUAGUCCACACUGUAAACGAUGAUUGCUAGGUGUGGGGGGUCUGACCCCCUCCGUGCCGGAGUUAACGCAAUAAGCAAUCCACCUGGGGAGUAC